rnacentral:rRNA from 1 species
ACGUUAGCGGCGGACGGGUGAGUAACACGUGGAUAACCUACCUAUAAGACUGGGAUAACUUCGGGAAACCGGAGCUAAUACCGGAUAACAUAUUGAACCGCAUGGUUCAAUAGUGAAAGGCGGCUUUGCUGUCACUUAUAGAUGGAUCCGCGCCGUAUUAGCUAGUUGGUAAGGUAACGGCUUACCAAGGCAACGAUACGUAGCCGACCUGAGAGGGUGAUCGGCCACACUGGAACUGAGACACGGUCCAGACUCCUACGGGAGGCAGCAGUAGGGAAUCUUCCGCAAUGGGCGAAAGCCUGACGGAGCAACGCCGCGUGAGUGAUGAAGGUCUUCGGAUCGUAAAACUCUGUUAUCAGGGAAGAACAAAUGUGUAAGUAACUGUGCACAUCUUGACGGUACCUGAUCAGAAAGCCACGGCUAACUACGUGCCAGCAGCCGCGGUAAUACGUAGGUGGCAAGCGUUAUCCGGAAUUAUUGGGCGUAAAGCGCGCGUAGGC